rnacentral:rRNA from 1 species
AAAGCUCGUAGUUGGAUUUCUGAAUGGGUGCGGCGGCUCGGUGCUCUUACGAGCGUCUGAGAUCAGUUUGCAUCUGUUCAUCUUGCCACAAACUGCUCUGACCUUAAUUGGCCGGGGAUCAGGGAGUAGCUCGUUUACUUUGAGAAAAACAGAGUGUUCAAAGCAGGCUUAUGCCUUGAAUGAGUUAGCAUGGAAUAAUUUUAUAGGACUUUGGUUCUAUUUUGUUGGUUGUUAAAGGACCGAAGUAAUGAUUGAUAGGGACAGUUGGGGCCAUCUGUAUUCUGAAGCGAGAGGUGAAAUUCUUGGACCUUCGGAAGACAAACAACUGCGAAAGCAUUUGGCAAGGAUGUUCUCUUUAAUCAAGAACGAAAGUUGGGGGAUCGAAGACGAUCAGAUACCGUCGUAGUCUCAACUAUAAACUAUGCCGACUGGGGAUUGGUGGACGUGCUACUACAACGCCAUCAGCACCUUAUGAGAAAUCAAAGUAUUUGGGUUCCGGGGGGAGUAUGGUCGCAAGGCUGAAACUUAAAGGAAUUGACGGGAGGGCACCACCAGGAGUGGAGCCUGUGGCUCAAUUUGACUCAACACGGGAAAACUUACCAGGUCCAGACAUAGUGAGGAUUGACAGAUUGACAGCUCUU